AUUUAAAUAAUUUAAUAAAAAUAUUGAUUUGUGGAGUCAAAAAUAUGGUGUAAUAUCAUUUUAAAUU
rnacentral:tRNA from 2 species